rnacentral:rRNA from 1 species
AAAGGAAGAUUAAUACAAGAUGGCAUCAUGAGUCCGCAUGUUCACAUGAUUAAAGGUAUUCCGGUAGACGAUGGGGAUGCGUUCCAUUAGAUGGUAGGCGGGGUAACGGCCCACCUAGUCUUCGAUGGAUAGGGGUUCUGAGAGGAAGGUCCCCCACAUUGGAACUGAGACACGGUCCAAACUCCUACGGGAGGCAGCAGUGAGGAAUAUUGGUCAAUGGGCGAGAGCCUGAACCAGCCAAGUAGCGUGAAGGAUGACUGCCCUAUGGGUUGUAAACUUCUUUUAUAAAGGAAUAAAGUCGGGUAUGGAUACCCGUUUGCAUGUACUUUAUGAAUAAGGAUCGGCUAACUCCGUGCCAGCAGCCGCGGUAAUACGGAGGAUCCGAGCGUUAUCCGGAUUUAUUGGGUUUAAAGGGAGCGUAGAUGGAUGUUUAAGUCAGUUGUGAUAGUUGGCGGCUCAACCGUAAAAUUGCAGUUGAUACUGGAUAUCUUGAGUGCAGUUGAGGCAGGCGGAAUUCGUGGUGUAGCGGUGAUAUG